GCCUUUGUAGCUCAGGGGUAGAGCACUUCCUUGGUAAGGAAGGGGUCGGGAGUUCAACUCUCCCCAAAGGCU
rnacentral:tRNA from 4 species